rnacentral:lncRNA from 1 species
GGGACUUAUACUUCUUGAGAAUAAUUGGGAUAAUAUCAUAAAAGGGCAUUGAGCUCGGGUUAAAUAAGAACCUAGUACUAAUGUCAUAAAUGGAACAUAGAUUAUGAAAUGUGUUAACUUAUAACAAGCUUAAGUGUCAUAAAGAGGCACUAAGUAUAGUGAGUGUUGGAACAUCACUUUGAGACAUUGAACUAGAGCUUUGAGAUGCUAGUGACUUUUA